rnacentral:rRNA from 1 species
UACGUAGGGACCAAGCGUUGUUCGGAUUUACUGGGCGUAAAGGGCGCGUAGGCGGCGUGGUAAGUCACUUGUGAAAUCUCCGAGCUUAACUCGGAACGGUCAAGUGAUACUGCUGUGCUAGAGUAUGGUAGGGGCAGAGGGAAUUCCUGGUGUAGCGGUGAAAUGCGUAGAGAUCAGGAAGAACAUCGGUGGCGAAGGCGCUCUGCUGGACCAUAACUGACACUCAGGGACGAAAGCUAGGGGAGCGAAUGGG